GAUGAACGCUGACAGAAUGCUUAACACAUGCAAGUCCACUUGAAUCAGGGUUUUUACCUUAGGUUUGGGUGGCGGACGGGUGAGUAACGCGUAAAGAACUUGCCUCCCAGCUAGGGACAACAUUUGGAAACGAAUGCUAAUACCUAAUAUUAUGAUAAUAGGGCGUCCUAUAAUUAUGAAAGCUAUAAGCGCUGAGAGAGAGCUUUGCGUCCCAUUAGCUAGUUGGUGAGGUAACGGCUCACCAAGGCGAUGAUGGGUAGGCGGCCUGAGAGGGUGAUCGGCCACAAGGGGACAGAGACACGGCCCUUACGCCUACGGGAGGCAGCAGUGGGGAAUAGUGGACAAUGGACCGAGAGUCUGAUCCAGCAAUUCUGUGUGCACGAUGAAGUUUUUCGGAAUGAAAAGUGCUUUCAGUUGGGAAGAAACAAAUGACGGUACCAACAGAAGAAGUGACGGCUAAAUACGUG
rnacentral:rRNA from 1 species